GGCUACAUCAUAUUGAAACACCUGUUCCUGUACAAUCACUGAAGUUAAGCAAGAUUGAGCCUGGUCAGUACUUACAUGGGCGAUCACUGGGGAAUACCAGGUGCUAUA